UGGGGAAUAUUGCACAAUGGGCGCAAGCCUGAUGCAGCCAUGCAGCGUGUGUGAAGAAGGCCUUCGGGUUGUAAAGCACUUUCAGCGAGGAGGAAGGUGGUGAGCUUAAUACGCUCAUCAAUUGACGUUACUCGCAGAAGAAGCACCGGCUAACUCCGUGCCAGCAGCCGCGGUAAUACGGAGGGUGCAAGCGUUAAUCGGAAUUACUGGGCGUAAAGCGCACGCAGGCGGUUUGUUAAGUCAGAUGUGAAAUCCCCGGGCUCAACCUGGGAACUGCAUUUGAAACUGGCAAGCUAGAGUCUCGUAGAGGGGGGUAGAAUUCCAGGUGUAGCGGUGAAAUGCGUAGAGAUCUGGAGGAAUACCGGUGGCGAAGGCGGCCCCCUGGACGAAGACUGACGCUCAGGUGCGAAAGCGUGGGGCAGCAAACAGGAUUAGAUACCCUGGUAGUCCACGCUGUAAACGAUGUCGAUUUUGGAGGUUGUGCCCUUGAGGCGUGGCUUCCGGAGCUAACGCGUUAAAGUCGACCGCCUGGGAGUACGG
rnacentral:rRNA from 1 species